GGAAGGCAAAACUGGACAUUUCUUCCCAAUCGACCAACUUAAUAAAAAUAGAAGAAAAUUGACCUUUACUUCAACCAGCAGGCACAUGCAUGAAGACCUAGAGAACAUACUGUUGGAAGCAACUUCAAAUUAUGCCAACAACUUCCUGUCCAAGUGCUUCCCUUGAGGCUACGCCAAGAGCGUGUCACACUCUACACACAACAGCUCUUCAAAGCUACGAAGAAGCUCUUUGACUGCGUCCUGGAAUCCCACAUCUUCCUCAACCUUUCCUUCUGGUACAUCUGUCUACCCUCUCUCCUUUCUACCCCAAUCUUCACCAAUUUGCCCACUUUCUCAUGAAUUGUGUCCCAGAAUGGAAUGCAGGCCAAUGCUGAGCUGGUGUGACUAGCUUUGAUGCGUGGGGAUAAGGAGGACACAUUUUUUUGCUAAGUGAUGGGAGGCUUGGGUGGGAACAAAAGCAAUGGAAACCAUUAAAAGAACCCAGUUUUAUCAUUCAGCAGUCAAAUCAAAAGGGAAAUAUUCUUUUCUUGGAAGAGGUCAAGGAAAAAUGAACUCACGAUAGUCAAAGGCUUGAUGGCUGUGACAUUUGCCUAGUCCAUGUUUUAAUUACUACUAUUAGAAUAUUUCAUUAAAGCACACUUGUUCUGUCAGUAAUCAUAUUAUCUAAGAAGGCAGAAGAAAAACAGAAUAUACGAUGGCAGCAAAUUACUUUUAGAUUAUGAAACAAGGCUUUGAAAUUCUGCCUAAAUUCUCUAUAAUUUAAACUGACUAGUUUGAUAAUCCCCUGUAUGAUAUAAAAACAACUUAAAGCACCUUUUAGCAAAAUACAUAAGCAUGUCCCUCAGCAGAGCACUUGCCAAGCAUAUUGAAGGCCCCAACUACAAUCCCUAGUACCUCAAAACAUAACUACCCAAAUAAAAAUAUAAUAUAUAGACAAAAUAUUGUUAUAACAGCUGAAACGCUGAAAGUGUGUAGAUAGUGUGGCUCAUAAAAUCUCUGCCCGCGUGGGAAGGUGGCUGAGCGAUUAGAGCAUUCACUGCUCUUCCAGAGGACCUGAGUCUGGCACCUAAUAUCCAUGGUAGAGGCCUGCAGCCAUUAUCUGUAACUCAGCCCAGAGGAUCUGACACCCUCUUCUGGACUCUGAGGUACCUGGACUCAUGUGCAAACACACACACACACACACACACACACACACACACACACACACGCACCCCAUAAAAUAAAUCUUUAAAAUACCUGCCCACAAGGCUCUGCCUUAAGAUCUUAGUAUGGCUCGGCCAUCUUCUGCAUCACAAUAAUGCCUGUUUAAGAGUUCCAAACUGGAAUCAAAGAACCGGAAGACCGGAAGGAACGUGGACGAUUAGUCAGUUCCAUCUUCAAACACAAUGUAUGAAGUCCAAGGGAUUUAGCAGACCCAGAUCCAGGAAGGGAUACGGGAUGGUGGAGAUUGCGCAGCAGGGCUCCUCUUGACUCAUACAGACCAUUUCAAAUCACCUCACAGCAUCACAGGGUAUCAGAACAGCACACUUGAUAACGCUGCUUCACACACACACACACACACACACACACACACACACACACACCUUUCAUCCCCUACCCCAAAUCUCCCUUUAUUAUACCUAAAGUUCUGUCAGUAACCCCAAGAUGAAGUUGGGGGUCAUUGAACCUCCUACGUCUUUACUUCCCAAUGUAGCAACGCUGAUAAAUCUCUGGUAUCUGACUUUUAGGAUUAGAAGGAAAAAAGAUAAUUAGCCAGGCUGCUGGUUCACACCUACAGACAUAGAAAGCAUUUGGCCAGGAGGGCAGGAAUUCAAGCCCAUCCAUGGCUACAUGAGACACUGCCUCACAAAACAGAAAUCCAAUGAUAAUUAAUUUAAAAUCCAAUGACAUGAACUGGAUCCCCAAAACCCACAUGCUGAAGGGAGAGAAUGGAUUUCCACAGGUUGUCCUCUGAACUUCCUUUUCAUGAGUACAACAGCACCGGCACACACACACACACACACACACACACACAUACGACAGAUAGAUAGAUAGAUAGAUAGAUAGAUAGAUAGAUAGAUAGAUAGAUAGAUAGAUGAUAGAUAGAUAGAUUAGAUGUGUUUUAAAAGGAAAAACUAGUUUAAUGAACAUUAACUUUAACUGGCCAUUUUCUCAUUGACAAACACAACCAAAUAAUAAAGUACCUUCUGGAAGGUAUAAGGACGCUUCAUGGUCAGGUGCAGUGUUCUAAUUAUUGGCUAGUUCACAUUGGCAAGUAACCCAACAACUUAAUGCAUUUUUGUGUUUUUUUUUUCGGAGCUGGGGACCGAACCCAGGGCCUUGCACUUGCUAGGCAAGCGCUCUACCACUGAGCUAAAUCCCCAACCCCACAUUUUUGUGUUUUAUAGAAUGUAUCUACCUAUAGUUACUUGUCAUUCAUACUCUCUUUACCAAAGAAAUGUAAAAUCAAAGCCAGAUGUAGUAGAUCAUGCCUAAAGCCCAGCACUUAGGGGUCUAAGACUAAAGGAUUUUUAUGGAGUUCAAAACCAACCUCAACUACAUAGUCAAUACCACCCCAGGCUACUCUAAAUAAAUUCAUGAACAAAUAAAUUAAAAAAUAUUAAAGCAAUUUUCUCUUAAAUAUGUAAUAUAAUAUUCCUCACCCAACCAUGACCACCUUACCACCAUCACCAUGCUGGGACACAUCCCUAGGGAACAAUAUGCUGUAAUUUGAACUUCACUCCCAAAUGGUUAUUUAAUAUAUCCCUGCUAUACUUAACAUAUUUCUACCAGGAAAAUAAUAAUAAUCAAAAGCUGGGCACAGCUGCAGAUGCCUGUCAUCCCAACACUUAAAGAAGUAGAUUCAAAAGGAUCCAGAGUUCAAGGUCAUCUACACCUACAGAGUGAAUUCAAGCCAGUUUGGAUGACCUGAGACCCAGUUUCAAGAAAACAAAACACAACAAAAAAUUAAGGGAACCAAGCAGGACAGUGUAAACCUAGGGUUUCUUCCCAGCUGCCUAUGAAAUCAAUAUGGUUAUUUCCUCAAUUUUAAAAAAGAGGAAAAUGGUUUCAAAGUAGCUACUGAACAAACAUGAAAAAUGAAUUUUUAAAAUGAGUAACUUAAAUGUGAGCCAUCUGGGUACAUAAAAUAGUGGGGGAAAUGCUACGUUUAUAACAGAAACCUCAAUUCCAGGCAUAUCUCGUUAGUGUGGGCCUUGUUCUGGACACAAUAUCCUCUGCUACUAAACGGGGCUUUAUAAUAAUUUCUAAUUCAUAGUAGUAACAGAACUAAAUAAGUUAUGACAUUGUAUUGCUCUAGCAUGCAAACAGCAACUAAACACUGUUAAAGACCAAGAAAUAAAAACCUACUUUUAAAGUCUGGUUCCCACAAGCCUCCUAUGAUUGAAUCUAUUUGGGUGGGGAUACAGUUACUUUGUUUCCUCUCAAGCCCAUGAAGUGUGAAAUACACACACUUGCAGAGCAGUUCUUUAUCUGGUGGAUCCACAGGGUCCUGAGGUUACAAAGCUUUCUUUUCUUACUGUUUCUGGCCAUAGGAUCUUCCUCUAGGGUAUGAUCCAGGCUAAGGGCCCCGUUCAGGCUUCCUCAGUACUUUCCUAAAUUUCCCUCAUCUGACUCACUUUCUUCCAAUCAUUCUGUUCCAAAUGCCUGGGACUCACAUGUCUCCUUCAGUUCCUCCGGUGACCCUUCACACCCAUUUGUAACACUGUAUUUUCUGGUACCAUAAUCCUAUGUAGAAACUCCAAGAGAAAUGAUACUGCCGGGAAACUAACAGGAGACCUAUUUCUCCAAUAAAAUUAUUAUUAUUAACAGAUUUUUGAUAGUUGAUUUAUCAUUGACAUUGAUUUACAAUUGUUUAAUUGUAUCUAUUCUCAAGGAUGGGAAAGGCCACUUUAUAUCUUCAGUUUGACCAAACCUUUCCAAGCAAGCUUACUCUUCAAAUUAUAUGUAAACUAAUACCAUGAGGCGGUGGCCCAUGCCUUUAAUCCCAAUACUCAGGAAUCAGAGGCAGAUGAAUCUUUGUGAGUUCAAGACCAGCCUCAUCUACAGAUGGAAUUCCAGUAUUACUCAUAGUUGUUAAUAACUGUGUUUAGAUAAUAUAACCUACACACAAGC
rnacentral:lncRNA from 1 species